rnacentral:rRNA from 1 species
UUAGCUUAGUGGCGAACGGGUGAGUAACACGUAGGCAACCUGCCCAAAAGAGGGGGAUAACACUUGGAAACAGGUGCUAAUACCGCAUAACCAUGAACACCGCAUGAUGUUCAUGUAAAAGACGGCUUUUGCUGUCACUUUUGGAUGGGCCUGCGCGUAUCAACUUGUUGGUGGGGUAACGGCCUACCAAGGUGAUGAUACGUAGCCGAACUGAGAGGUUGAUCGGCCACAUUGGGACUGAGACACGGCCCAAACUCCUACGGGAGGCAGCAGUAGGGAAUCUUCCACAAUGGACGAAAGUCUGAUGGAGCAACGCCGCGUGAAUGAAGAAGGCCCUCGGGUCGUAAAAUUCUGUUGUCAGAGAAGAACGUGCGUGAGAGUAACUGUUCACGUAUUGACGGUAUCUGACCAGAAAGCCACGGCUAACUACGUGCCAGCAGCCGCGGUAAUACGUAGGUGGCGAGCGUUGUCCGGAUUUAUUGGGCGUAAAGGGAACGCAGGCGGUCUUUUAAGUCUGAUGUGAAAGCCUUCGGCUUAACCGAAGUAGUGCAUUGGAAACUGGAAGACUUGAGUGCAGAAGAGGAGAGUGGAACUCCAUGUGUAGCGGUGAAAUGCGUAGAUAUAUGGAAGAACACCAGUGGCGAAAGCGGCUCUCUGGUCUGUAACUGACGCUGAGGUUCGAAAGCGUGGGUAGCAAACAGGAUUAGAUACCCUGGUAGUCCACGCCGUAAACGAUGAGUGCUAAGUGUUGGAGGGUUUCCGCCCUUCAGUGCUGCAGCUAACGCAUUAAGCACUCCGCCUGGGGAGUACGGUCGCAAGACUGAAACUCAAAGGAAUUGACGGGGGCCCGCACAAGCGGUGGAGCAUGUGGUUUAAUUCGAAGCAACGCGAAGAACCUUACCAGGUCUUGACAUCUUCUGACAAUUCCAGAGAUGGAACGUUCCCUUCGGGGACAGAAUGACAGGUGGUGCAUGGUUGUCGUCAGCUCGUGUCGUGAGAUGUUGGGUUAAGUCCCGCAACGAGCGCAACCCUUAUUGUCAGUUGCCAUCAUUAAGUUGGGCACUCUGGCGAGACUGCCGGUGACAAACCGGAGGAAGGUGGGGAUGACGUCAAAUCAUCAUGCCCCUUAUGACCUGGGCUACACACGUGCUACAAUGGACGGUACAACGAGUCGCUAACUCGCGAGGGCAAGCUAAUCUCUUAAAGCCGUUCUCAGUUCGGAUUGCAGGCUGCAACUCGCCUGCAUGAAGUCGGAAUCGCUAGUAAUCGCGAAUCAGCAUGUCGCGGUGAAUACGUUCCCGGGCCUUGUACACACCGCCCGUCACACCAUGAGAGUUUGUAUCACCCAAAGUCGGUGGGGUAACCUUUUGGAGCCAGCCGCCUAAGGUGGGACAGAUGAUUGGGGUGAAGUCGUAACAAGGUA